rnacentral:rRNA from 1 species
AGAGUUGAGUCCUGGCUCAGGACUGAACGACUGGCGGCGGUGCCUAAUACAUGCAAGUCGUACGAGGGAAGUCCAGCUUGCUGGACGGAACGAGUGGCGAACGGGUGAGUAAUACGUAAGCAACCUGCCCUGCAAGGACUGGGAUAACACCUGGAAACGGGCGCUAAUACCGGAUAGGUAACAAAGGGGCAUCCCUAUGUUAUUAAAGGUUAGAAACACAAGCAGAUGGGCUUACGGUGCAUUAGCUAGUUGGUGAGGUAACGGCCCACCAAGGCGAUGAUGCAUAGCCGGCCUGAGAGGGUGAACGGCCACAUUGGGACUGAGACACGGCCCAGACUCCUACGGGAGGCAGCAGUAGGGAAUUUUCGGCAAUGGACGAAAGUCUGACCGAGCAACGCCGCGUGAGUGAAGAAGGUUUUCGGAUUGUAAAGCUCUGUUGUAAGGGAGGAACAGCACGGAAAGAAUCCGUGAAUGACGGUACCUUACCAGAAAGCCACGGCUAACUACGUGCCAGCAGCAGC